GACGGAGGGGGCAAGCGUUGUCCGGACUCACUGGGCGUAAAGGGUGCGUAGGCGGUUGCAUGCGUCGGCGCUGAAAUCCCUGGGCUUAACCCAGGGGCGCGUGCCGAUACGAUGCGACUUGAGGCUCGGAGAGGGUGGUAGAACUCCUGGUGUAGUGGUGAAAUGCGUAGAGAUCAGGAAGAAUACCCGUGGCGCAAGCGACCACCUGGCCGAGACCUGACGCUGAGGCACGAAAGCGUGGGGAGCGAACAGG
rnacentral:rRNA from 1 species